rnacentral:rRNA from 1 species
AUGGCUCAGUGAGGCGUCCGGACUGGCCCAGAGAGGUGGGCAACUACCACUCAGGGCCGGAAAGUUCUCCAAACUCGGUCAUUUAGAGGAAGUAAAAGUCGUAACAAGGUCUCCGUUGGUGAACCAGCGGAGGGAUCAUUA